rnacentral:snRNA from 1 species
GAAUGUGAGGGUGACCUGGCUGUGACCCUCCCACACCAUUGAUUCCAAGUCCCAUUAGACUGAUGUGGUGGCCCGGUGUCUUCUUUCUUCCUCACCUCCGUGUGCAUCCCUCAGGCUUUGAGUUGCUGGCUCAGACAACAGGAAUGUCCUUUCCUGAUAAAAGAGGAUUUGUCCUUGGUAGG